rnacentral:tRNA from 3 species
GCGGACGUAGCUCAGUUGGUAGAGCGCAACCUUGCCAAGGUUGAGGUCGCGAGUUCGAAUCUCGUCGUCCGCU